rnacentral:lncRNA from 1 species
GAAACCGUGUCUGGCGGUGGCUCAGGUUCACACAGAAGGAAUGGUGGUGAGGCCAGAGUCAAGCAUCCGCUCAUACGGGGCAGGCUCUGCUCAGAGCGUUCUCUGUUCUCUGUAAGCUUCAGCAGACAUAGGACAUGUUGGUUUGGGGACAUGGGAACAGACAGGGCUGUGCCCUCACAAUCUGGGGUGAGGUCCAAGAUCAAGGUGUUGGCCUGCUGGUUCCUCCCAAGGCCUGUCCUGCCUUGUGGUGGAGUCUUCACCCUGUGUUCUCACACAGCCUUCCACGCUGUGUAUACAUUGCCCUCUCUCUUCUCAGAGGUCACCCAUCAGUAGGGUUGCCCAAUGACCCUAUUUUUCCUCAAUGAACUCUUUCAAGACCCCAUCUCUGAAUUUAGUCAUAGUCUGAGGUGCUGAGGGUGGGCGGUUCAGGAUCAACAUGCUUUCUGUGGGAGACCUUGAUGCAAACAGGGCUUCUCUAAAGCCUGUGAGAGGCCAGCUGGUUGUGGGGCCUUUGCCUCGGUGGUCUGUGGAAAGGUCCCUUCCAGAGUUUCCUGCCUUAAAGGGCUAAGAGCCAUGGAACUUUUGCUCAGGACCCUAUGGGCUUCCCAUGGUCUGGGGCAAGUUUUCCUGUAUUGGCUUUUUGUGGUCCUUGCAAAGACAUUGUCUUGUCUGUGUUGACAGCUUAUGAACUGUAAACUUUUAUAAAAGCUGACUAUUCUAUGGAAAGGAGCCGAUGUAGCCUGGGACUGCUACCAUCAUAGCUGCUACCUUCUUGAGUUGUUUGUGGAUUACAGCAGGGGCUCAAAGGCCAGGGUAGAUGCUCACUGGACCGGGCUGUGUACAGAGCGAACAUACUUACACUCUGGGAACAGACUAGGCAAGAGCUCCCUCCCUCCCUAUGUAACCUAUUCUUGCACCAUGGGAUUCCCUAAAGCCUGGUGGGCACCACAGAAGCCCGCCCUUGCUUCUAACCCACCUGGGCUAGAAGAUCCAGCCAGAUUCUUUUUCCUUGAGGAACUGUGGGAAAUGGGCAAAGGUUGAGGCUUACCUGUAUCUCUUGAGUUCCUGCCAGAAAACUAGAGAAAUAGAGAGUGGGUGAGAUGGGCCAGUUUGGUCCCCGUCUAGGCAGGAGCCCUGGCUGAAGUGUGGGAUAAUGAGAGGCUGGAUCUGCACUAGAGAAGUUUGUGGUACCCACCCCAGCACUGGGCAAUGCCCGGCACUGGUGGCAAGGUGCCUGGCUCUGAGCUGCCUCAUGCUGUCCCAACUUGAAGACUGGAGUGUCCCUGGAGUGCCAGCCCCCCAUGUCAUAUCAUUGUCAACAGGGCUGAGUCUGAUGUGUUGUCCAGAUGGCUGCCUCUGGAUCUAGUCUCACCUGGAGCUAUCAUGAGCCCCACUCAACAUGACAGAGCCAUCAGGAGACCCAUCCAAUGUGUCAGGGGUGGCUGGACCGCAGGCCCCGGGGAUCCUGACUGGGAGAGAAAAUUGUAACUACCCUGACUUAGUUCCUGUAGUAGGGCUGAAGGGAAACGGUUGUUGAAGGUAACUUCUUGUCACUGUGACAGUGCCAGGUAUGGGUUCUAUUUCACGGAGUGGGCCUAAAAUCUGAUCAGAAAGGGUUUAUUACUCCCUU